rnacentral:rRNA from 1 species
CACCGCGGUCACACAAGAGACCCAAGUUAACUGUAAUACGGCGUAAAGAGUGGCAUUAUACUAUCAUUCCAACUAAGAUCGAAAUGUAGCUGAGCUGUCAUAAGCCCAAGCUGCACCUAACACCGCUCUGAAAACAAUCUUAGCAUCUACGAUUGAUAAAACCCACGAAAGCUAAGGCA